rnacentral:tRNA from 1 species
GCGGGGAUAGCUCAGUUGGGAGAGCGUCAGACUGAAGAUCUGAAGGUCGCGUGUUUGAUCACGCUCACCGCA